AAAAUUGGACCAUGGGGGCAACCCUGAUCCGGCCAUCGCCCGUGUGUGAAAAAAGUCUUCGGAUUGUAAAGCACUUUAAGUUGGGGGGAAGGGCUUUAGGCUAAUACCCUAAAUUUUUGACGUUACCAACAGAAGAAGCACCGGCUAACCCAGUGCCACGCGCCGCGGUAAUACAGAGGGUGCAAGCGUUAAUCGGAAUUACUGGGCGUAAAGCGCGCGUAGGUGGUUCAGUAAGAUGGGUGUGAAAUCCCAGGGCUUAACCUGGGAACUGCUUUCAUAACUGGUGAGCUAGAGUACGGUAGAGGGUAGUGGAAUUUCCUGUGUAGCGGUGAAAUGCGUAGAUAUAGGAAGGAACACCAGUGGCGAAGGCGACUACCUGGACUGAUACUGACACUGAGGUGCGAAAGCGUGGGGAGCAAACAG
rnacentral:rRNA from 1 species